UACGAAGGGGGCUAGCGUUGCUCGGAAUCACUGGGCGUAAAGCGCACGUAGGCGGCUUUCUAAGUCAGGGGUGAAAUCCUGGAGCUCAACUCCAGAACUGCCUUUGAUACUGGGAAUCUCGAGUCCGGGAGAGGUGAGUGGAGCUGCGAGUGUAGAGGUGAAAUUCGUAGAUAUUCGCAAGAACACCAGUGGCGAAGGCGGCUCACUGGCCCGAUACUGACGCUGAGGCACGAAAGCGUGGGGAGCAAACAGG
rnacentral:rRNA from 1 species